CUAGUUUUUGUUUCUGUUGUUGUUGUUGUUGUUGUGUAUUUUUCUUUCUUAAUUUUUAAAACUAAAACUACCAUAUGAUCCAGUCUUGCUGUUUGUCUUUCUCCUUUUCAAGCUAGAUUGUUCUUAGCCAUUUUAUUUCCAUUCUAGCACUUACUGUAGCAAAUUAGGCAAGUAAAAUAUUGGGAUAGGAAAUAAUUUUUUAAAUUUAUAAAUCUGCAAAAAUUGAUCAGUUUACGUUUUUUGAAUAUCUGAAAGGAUGAGUGAAAGAAAUAGUGUACAGCUAACUAUUCAUUUAUACAGGUUAUAUAUGAGCUACUUGUGCAUUUGCCAAAGACUGCUUAAGUUGACGUUAAUGAGAUUUAAGAGUUACCUCUGUGCUCUUGUGUUAAUUAGCUUGAUGGUUUCUCCUAUUACCUGGCCAUUUUGACCAGUCUCUUAGGGCACAGGCUUACUCUCCGUUCCUAAAACAGAAGAACUUGCAUGUCACAUCACUGCUUAGAAAUGGCUUUCUUAAAUAACAAGUCACCAAAACUUGGCUAAUGAUAUAUAGAAAAGCGUGGUAUUGACACAUACAGAUAUAUCUCUUUCUGCAUACAGUUAGUAGGUCAUGGUGAAAGAUAUUUGGAUUAUUUCUCUCACCUUCAUUCCACUCUCAUUCUAUUCAAAGACAAUAGAGUUAGAAAUAAAAACUCCAGAUUAAUUUGUAGCUAUGAUACAAA
rnacentral:lncRNA from 1 species